rnacentral:rRNA from 1 species
CUUAACACAUGCAAGUCGAACGAUGAAGCAGGAGCUUGCUUUUGCUGGAUUAGUGGCGAACGGGUGAGUAACACGUGAGUAACCUGCCCUUGACUCUGGGAUAAGCGUUGGAAACGACGUCUAAUACCGGAUACGAGCUAGGACCGCAUGGUCACUAGUUGGAAAGAAUUUUGGUCAAGGAUGGACUCGCGGCCUAUCAGCUAGUUGGUGAGGUAACGGCCCACCAAGGCGACGACGGGUAGCCGGCCUGAGAGGGUGACCGGCCACACUGGGACUGAGACACGGCCCAGACUCCUACGGGAGGCAGCAGUGGGGAAUAUUGCACAAUGGGCGAAAGCCUGAUGCAGCAACGCCGCGUGAGGGACGACGGCCUUCGGGUUGUAAACCUCUUUUAGCAGGGAAGAAGCGAAAGUGACGGUACCUGCAGAAAAAGCACCGGCUAACUACGUGCCAGCAGCCGCGGUAAUACGUAGGGUGCAAGCGUUGUCCGGAAUUAUUGGGCGUAAAGAGCUCGUAGGCGGUUUGUC